rnacentral:rRNA from 1 species
UUGGCUUAGAAGCAGCCAUCAUUUAAAGAAAGCGUAAUAGCUCACUGGUCGAGUCGGCCUGCGCGGAAGAUGUAACGGGGCUAAACCAUGCACCGAAGCUGCGGCAGCGACACUGUGUGUUGUUGGGUAGGGGAGCGUUCUGUAAGCCUGUGAAGGUGUGUCGUGAGGCAUGCUGGAGGUAUCAGAAGUGCGAAUGCUGACAUAAGUAACGAUAAAGCGGGUGAAAAGCCCGCUCGCCGGAAGACCAAGGGUUCCUGUCCAACGUUAAUCGGGGCAGGGUGAGUCGACCCCUAAGGCGAGGCCGAAAGGCGUAGUCGAUGGGAAACGGGUUAAUAUUCCCGUACUUGGUGUUACUGCGAAGGGGGGACGGAGAAGGCUAUGUUGGCCGGGCGACGGUUGUCCCGGUUUAAGCGUGUAGGUGUGUGUUCCAGGUAAAUCCGGUUCACUUUAACACUGAGGCGUGACGACGAGGCACUACGGUGCUGAAGCAACAAAUGCCCUGCUUCCAGGAAAAGCCUCUAAGCAUCAGGUAACAUCAAAUCGUACCCCAAACCGACACAGGUGGUCAGGUAGAGAAUACCAAGGCGCUUGAGAGAACUCGGGUGAAGGAACUAGGCAAAAUGGUGCCGUAACUUCGGGAGAAGGCACGCUGACACGUAGGUGAAGUGAUUUACUCAUGGAGCUGAAGUCAGUCGAAGAUACCAGCUGGCUGCAACUGUUUAUUAAAAACACAGCACUGUGCAAACACGAAAGUGGACGUAUACGGUGUGACGCCUGCCCGGUGCCGGAAGGUUAAUUGAUGGGGUCAGCGCAAGCGAAGCUCCUGAUCGAAGCCCCGGUAAACGGCGGCCGUAACUAUAACGGUCCUAAGGUAGCGAAAUUCCUUGUCGGGUAAGUUCCGACCUGCACGAAUGGCGUAAUGAUGGCCAGGCUGUCUCCACCCGAGACUCAGUGAAAUUGAACUCGCUGUGAAGAUGCAGUGUACCCGCGGCAAGACGGAAAGACCCCGUGAACCUUUACUAUAGCUUGACACUGAACAUUGAGCCUUGAUGUGUAGGAUAGGUGGGAGGCUUUGAAGUGUGGACGCCAGUCUGCAUGGAGCCGACCUUGAAAUACCACCCUUUAAUGUUUGAUGUUCUAACGUGGACCCGUUACCCGGGUUGCGGACAGUGUCUGGUGGGUAGUUUGACUGGGGCGGUCUCCUCCUAAAGAGUAACGGAGGAGCACGAAGGUUGGCUAAUCCUGGUCGGACAUCAGGAGGUUAGUGCAAUGGCAUAAGCCAGCUUGACUGCGAGCGUGACGGCGCGAGCAGGUGCGAAAGCAGGUCAUAGUGAUCCGGUGGUUCUGAAUGGAAGGGCCAUCGCUCAACGGAUAAAAGGUACUCCGGGGAUAACAGGCUGAUACCGCCCAAGAGUUCAUAUCGACGGCGGUGUUUGGCACCUCGAUGUCGGCUCAUCACAUCCUGGGGCUGAAGUAGGUCCCAAGGGUAUGGCUGUUCGCCAUUUAAAGUGGUACGCGAGCUGGGUUUAGAACGUCGUGAGACAGUUCGGUCCCUAUCUGCCGUGGGCGCUGGAGAACUGAGGGGGGCUGCUCCUAGUACGAGAGGACCGGAGUGGACGCAUCACUGGUGUUCGGGUUGUCAUGCCAAUGGCACUGCCCGGUAGCUAAAUGCGGAAGAGAUAAGUGCUGAAAGCAUCUAAGCACGAAACUUGCCCCGA